rnacentral:rRNA from 1 species
UGGGGAAUUUUGGACAAUGGGCGAAAGCCUGAUCCAGCAAUGCCGCGUGGGGGAAGAAGGCCUUCGGGUUGUAAACCGCUUUUGUCAGGGAAGAAACGAGUUUCUCUAAUACAGAGACUUAAUGACGGUACCUGAAGAAUAAGCACCGGCUAACUACGUGCCAGCAGCCGCGGUAAUACGUAGGGUGCAAGCGUUAAUCGGAAUUACUGGGCGUAAAGCGUGCGCAGGCGGUUAUGCAAGACAGAGGUGAAAUCCCCGGGCUCAACCUGGGAACUGCCUAUGUGACUGCAUAGCUAGAGUACGGUAGAGGGAGAUGGAAUUCCGCGUGUAGCAGUGAAAUGAGUAGAUAUGCGGAGGAACACCGAUGGCGAAGGCAGCCUCCUGGGCCAGUACUGACGCACAUGCACGAAAGAGUGGGGAGCAAACA